GCAAAUGGCAUGCCCGAGCUUUAUACAGGCGCAAGCUCAAUAGCUAAAUGGAGGAAUUCAUGAAUUUUCCCACCCAACCUACAGCAGGGGCUGGUUCAUGGUUUGAGGUGCGCUGGAAACACGUUUCCUUCAAGUGGAUCCCUGGAUCCCUCUUUGAUCCAUGGCCGUCCAGGAGGAUUUCCCUCACAACAAGUGGGCUGAGCCCCUGAAGGAAUGGCACGUUUUCGGAUCUGGCAGUCUUGGAGCAUUCCAGCAAAAUAAUACUAUACUACUGCCUCCUAAGCAAGCAUCCUCAGACUAUUGCCUUUCAAGUAUGAAUUUCAAUUCUUAUAACCCCAAAUCUGUAUGGUUGUUGAGUUUAUGAGAACUAAAAUGGACAGUUAACAUCAAAAAUAUCAUCAAAAAAGGACAACAAAGACUGUUCUUUCUGCGCCAACUCAGAAAGCUCAACCUGCCCAAGGAGCUACUGAUCCAGUUCUACAGAGGAAUUACUGAGUCUGUCAUUUGCACCUCUAUAACUGCCUGGUUUGGUUCUGCAACCCAACAAGAAAGACACAGACUUCAGAGGAUAAUUAGAACUGCAGAAAAAAUAAUUGCUACCAACCUGGAGGACCUGUAUACUGCACGAAUCAAGAAGCGGGCCAUGAAAAUAUUUACAGAUCCCUCACAUCCUGGACAUAAACUGUUUCAACUCCUACCAUCAAAACGACGCUAUUAGAGCACUGCAUACCAGAACAACUAGACACAAGAACAGUUUUUCCCCGAAGGCCAUCACUCUGCUAAACAAAUAAUUCCCCCAACAGUGUCAAACUAUUUACUAAAUCUACACUACUAUUAAUCUUCUCAUCGUUUCCAUCACCAAUCUCUUUCCACCUAUGACUGUAUGACAGUAACUUUUUGUUGCUAUCAUUGAGGGUUAAAUUGUACCCUAUGACCAUCAUUUGUGUUGUAAAUGUUUUACUUUUAUGAAGGUAUUUUUUCUUUUAUGUACACUGAGAACAUAUGCACCAAGACAAAUUCCUUGUGUGUCCAAUCACACUUGGCCAAUAAAUUCUAUUCUAUUCUAUUCUAUUCUAUUCUAUUCUAUUCUAUUCUAUUCUAUUCUAUAGUCCAACACAUCCAGAAGCAUGAGUUUAGAUAAUGUGAUAUAGAUUCAAGGUUCACAAAGUAUGAAGGCAAAUACAUAGGCAAUUAUUAAGGUAUGGUAUGUAUUUUAUUUAUUUUAUGUUAUUUCAAUUUGAUUGAAGCUAAGCAGUGUACAAGUGUACAGUGUACAACAAAUCUGCACAAUAACACGAGUUUAAAAACAGUAAGUACAGCUUUUUACAGUAAGCACAACAAAAACUUCAGCGUACAAUGCAACAUGUUGUGUAGUGAGGCAUCUCAUUCAGAGAGCAAAGCAAAAGUCAUUUCAUCUAGUCCCCAAGGCCCUUUGAGUCUCCAAGAUCUAAAAGCUUUCAGAAAAUAAUGAGGAAAAAAAGACCACUACUGUCUUAUUUCCAGGGCCAAGCUAUUCCACAGGAGAAGAAGCCCAGCCCCGUAUCAGUUUUUGAGCACCUUCCUGCCAGAACUCCCAAUUAUAGGGAAUCUCAGUAGGCAUUUUAUGUACAUUGGAUGGGCAGAUGCUACUUAGAAUAGCCCGU